GACGGGACCCGCACAAGCGGUGGAUGAUGUGGAUUAAUUCGAUGCAACGCGAAAACCUUACCUACCCUUGACAUGUCCGGAAUCCCGAAGAGAUUUGGGAGUGCUCGCAAGAGAACCGGAACACAGGUGCUGCAUGGCUGUCGUCAGCUCGUGUCGUGAGAUGUUGGGUUAAGUCCCGCAACGAGCGCAACCCUUGUCAUUAGUUGCCAUCAUUUGGUUGGGCACUCUAAUGAGACUGCCGGUGACAAACCGGAGGAAGGUGGGGAUGACGUCAAGUCCUCAUGGCCCUUAUGGGUAGGGCUUCACACGUCAUACAAUGGUCGGUACAGAGGGUUGCCAACCCGCGAGGGGGAGCUAAUCCCACAAAGCCGAUCGUAGUCCGGAUCGCAGUUUGCAACUCGACUGCGUGAAGUCGGAAUCGCUAGUAAUCGUGGAUCAGCAUGUCACGGUGAAUACGUUCCCGGGUCUU
rnacentral:rRNA from 1 species